rnacentral:rRNA from 1 species
UUGGAGGGCAAGUCUGGUGCCAGCAGCCGCGGUAAUUCCAGCUCCAAUAGCGUAUAUUAAAGUUGUUGCAGUUAAAAAGCUCGUAGUUGAACCUUGGGCCUGGCUGGCCGGUCCGCCUCACCGCGUGUACUGGUCCGGCCGGGCCUUUCCUUCUGGGGAACCUCAUGCCCUUCACUGGGCGUGUUGGGGAACCAGGACUUUUAACUUUGAAAAAAUUAGAGUGUUCAAAGCAGGCCUUUGCUCGAAUACAUUAGCAUGGAAUAAUAGAAUAGGACGUGUGGUU